rnacentral:lncRNA from 13 species
CCGCCAGUCAAAACGCGUUUAUGAGGAGCUUAAGGCUGCAUCCAAUCAAGUCCGCCAUGGCCGCCGGCUCCGCCCUCCCCGCCUCCGCCCCUUUCCCUGUCGGCCACGCCCACCACGGGGCCCCUAGCCAGGGACCCCGCUGCUUAGAUAUUUUCGCCUCUGCGGGUGUAGGCUCGGCAUCGGGCUCUGGGUUCCUUUCCUGGCUUGCCUCCUCCCAGCUGUGUGACCUGGCGAGGCUCUGAGCCUCUUUAGGGUUCCGUGCCCUCCGAGCAAUGCGCCAACAGCCCCUUCCCUGGAGGUCUUGGUGAGGGUUGGGUGCUCUGCAGGGUGCCCUGGGCCUGGGCCAGGGCCUGUGCCAGCGCGUUCUGGCGUCCUCCUGACCAACCAGAGCUGGUACUGGUGAGCGCAGCCCCUUAGCCCGUGCAGGCUCUGGUCAGCCUUACCUGCUUGCUUGGCUGUCUGGGACCUGGGCCUCAGCUUCCCCAUCUGUUCAGGGGGCCGCUGGUGAUACCGGUGCCAGCCAUGACCUGGUGGAGAUAUGGCCCAGUGAGACUUCAAAAGGGCCUAAGCCACUGCUGUCACGUGGGACAUCCUCUUCCCUGGAGGAAUGAAAGCAGCCCACAGCCACUUAGCACAGAAAUGCUCUGGAGAUGGGGACCUCAUCAUUACUCAUCUCCUGUUCCCUGGACACCUUGGGGUCCCUGUGCAUCCCCUAGGUCAGCAGCUUGAUUUGAUGUGAAAGGUGGGGCUACAUGUGGCCCUUGUUGUCUGAGCAGGUCAGGACAAAGAUUCCGCCAUGUGUUUCUGCUGUGAGAAGCCAUGCUGUCCUGGAAUCCCCAUCCACAUGCGUAGCUCUUACCCUCCAGCCUGUGGGAUGGGUCAAGAGGAGGAGGAGGAGGAAGAGGACUUACCUUCUGAUAGACCCAGGGUGCUCAGAGUCCAGGCCCUGCAACAGCAGACUCAACCUCACCCAGAGACUUGUCAGAAAUGGUCACCUGGGGGUGAUGAGCCUCACGUUUCCUGCCUGCCAUGGGAUGUGUGGUCCUCUGAGUCCUCAGCUACUGCCCAUUGUCACCAGGAACCAAGCUCAGCCAGGCACAGUAAUCCCAGCACUUUGA